ACGCUUCAGCAGCACAUAUACUAAAAUUGGAACGAUACAGAGAAGAUUAGCAUGGCCCCUAAGAAAGAAAGA
rnacentral:snRNA from 1 species